UAACAUUGCCCACUCCACGAAUAGAAUA
rnacentral:piRNA from 1 species